CCUACGGGAGACAGCAGUGGGGAAUAUUGGGCAAUGGAGGCAACUCUGACCCAGCAAUGCCGCGUGAAUGAAGAAGGUUUUCGGAUUGUAAAGUUCUGUGAUGUGUGAUGAACAUAAUGACGGUAUCCCAAUAGCCCCCCGCGACCAACUACGUACCAGCCGCCGUGGUAAUACGUAGGUGGAAAGCGUUCUCCGGAAGGACUGGGCGUAAAGGGUGCGUUGGUGGUUAAGUAAGAUGGUGGUGAAAUGCCGGUGCUCAACCUCGGCACUACCGUGACAACUAUUAUACUAGAGUGGAGGAGAGGUAAGUGGAAUUCCUAGUGUAGAGGUGGAAUGCGUAGAUAUUGGGAAGAACAUCAGGGGCGAAGGCGACUAACUGGACUGUAACUGACGCUGAGGCACGAAAGCAUGGGGAGCAAACAGGAUUAGAUACCCGAGUAGUC
rnacentral:rRNA from 1 species